UACAGAGGUGGCAAGCGUUGUUCGGAUUUAUUGGGCGUAAAGGGUCCGUAGGCGGACCGGAAAGUCAGAUGUGAAAUCCUACAGCUCAACUGUAGAACUGCAUUUGAAACUUCCGGACUAGAGUGUGAGAGGGGUGAAGGGAAUUCCCGGUGUAAGGGUGAAAUCUGCAGAGAUCGGGAGGAACACCAGUCGCGAAGGCGCUUCACUGGCUCACUACUGACGCUCAGGGACGAAAGCUAGGGUAGCAAACGGG
rnacentral:rRNA from 1 species